rnacentral:rRNA from 1 species
GUGCCAGCCGCCGCGGUAAGACGAACCGAGCGAACGUUGUUCGGAAUCACUGGGCUUAAAGGGUGCGUAGGCGGGCUGCCAAGUUUGGGGUGAAAUCCUCCGGCUCAACCGGGGAAGUGCCUUGAAUACUGGCGGUCUGGAGGGAGGUAGGGGCGUGCGGAACUAACGGUGGAGCGGUGAAAUGCGUUGAUAUCGUUAGGAACUCCGGUGGCGAAGGCGGCACGCUGGACCUCUUCUGACGCUGAGGCACGAAAGCCAGGGGAGCGAACGGGAUUAGAAACCCUCGUAGUCC